rnacentral:rRNA from 2 species
UAGGGAAUAUUGGACAAUGGGCGCAAGCCUGAUCCAGCCAUGCCGCGUGAGUGAAGAAGGCCCUCGGGUUGUAAAGCUCUUUUGUCCGGAAAGAAAAGCGCCGGGUUAAUACCCUGGUGUCCUGACGGUACCGGAAGAAUAAGCACCGGCUAACUUCGUGCCAGCAGCCGCGGUAAUACGAAGGGUGCAAGCGUUACUCGGAAUUACUGGGCGUAAAGCGUGCGUAGGUGGUUCGUUAAGUCCGAUGUGAAAGCCCUGGGCUCAACCUGGGAAUGGCAUUGGAUACUGGCGGGCUAGAGUGCGGUAGAGGGUAGUGGAAUUCCCGGUGUAGCAGUGAAAUGCGUAGAGAUCGGGAGGAACAUCCGUGGCGAAGGCGACUACCUGGACCAGCACUGACACUGAGGCACGAAAGCGUGGGGAGCAAACA